rnacentral:rRNA from 1 species
UACGGAGGGUGCAAGCGUUAUCCGGAUUUAUUGGGUUUAAAGGGUCCGUAGGUGGACUUAUAAGUCCGUUGUGAAAGACUGUCGCUUAACGAUAGAACUGCCAUUGAUACUGUAAGUCUUGAGUAUAUUUGAGGUAGCUGGAAUAAGUAGUGUAGCGGUGAAAUGCAUAGAUAUUGCUUAGAACACCAAUUGCGAAGGCAGGUUACCAAGAUAUAACUGACGCUGAGGGACGAAAGCUUGGGGAGCGAACGGG